UGGGGAAUUUUGGACAAUGGGCGAAAGCCUGAUCCAGCAAUGCCGCGUGUGUGAAGAAGGCCUUCGGGUUGUAAAGCACUUUUGUCCGGAAAGAAAUCCUUGGCUCUAAUACAGUCGGGGGAUGACGGUACCGGAAGAAUAAGCACCGGCUAACUACGUGCCAGCAGCCGCGGUAAUACGUAGGGUGCAAGCGUUAAUCGGAAUUACUGGGCGUAAAGCGUGCGCAGGCGGUUUGCUAAGACCGAUGUGAAAUCCCCGGGCUCAACCUGGGAACUGCAUUGGUGACUGGCAGGCUAGAGUAUGGCAGAGGGGGGUAGAAUUCCACGUGUAGCAGUGAAAUGCGUAGAGAUGUGGAGGAAUACCGAUGGCGAAGGCAGCCCCCUGGGCCAAUACUGACGCUCAUGCACGAAAGCGUGGGGAGCAAACAGGAUUAGAUACCCUGGUAGUCCACGCCCUAAACGAUGUCAACUAGUUGUUGGGGAUUCAUUUCCUUAGUAACGUAGCUAACGCGUGAAGUUGACCGCCUGGGGAGUACGGUCGCAAGAUUAAAACUUAAAUGAAUUGACGGGGUCAUAGCGUUUCCU
rnacentral:rRNA from 1 species